rnacentral:rRNA from 1 species
UACGGAGGGUGCAAGCGUUAAUCGGAAUUACUGGGCGUAAAGCGCACGCAGGUGGCUGAGUCAGUUGAUUGUGAAAGCCCUGGGCUUAACCUGGGAAUUGCAGUCGAUACUACUCAGCUAGAGUAUGGGAGAGGGUAGUGGAAUUCCCGGUGUAGCGGUGAAAUGCGUAGAUAUCGGGAGGAACAUCAGUGGCGAAGGCGACACGCUGGGCCGUACCUGACACUGAUGCGCGACAGCAUGGGGAGCAAACAGG